rnacentral:rRNA from 1 species
CCGGCAGUAAACGAUGUCGACUGGCCGUCGGGGGGCUUGACCCCCUCGGUGGCGGAGCUAACGCGGGAAGUCGACCGCCUGGGGAGUACGGCCGCAAGGCUAAAACUCAAAGGAAUUGACGGGGGCCCGCACAAGCAGCGGAGCGUGCGGUUUAAUUCGACGCAACGCGCAGAACCUUACCAGGCCUUGACAUGCCCCUGCAAGCCCCUGAAAGGGGGUCGCCUUCGAGGGUGGGGCACAGGUGC